rnacentral:rRNA from 1 species
UAGGGAAUAUUGGUAAUGGGUGAAAGCCUGAACCAGCAACGCCGCGUGUGCGAUGAAGGCCUUCGGGUCGUAAAGCACUUUUUGGAGGGAUGAGGAAGGACAGUACCUCCAGAAUAAGCCUCGGCUAACUACGUGCCAGCAGCCGCGGUAACACGGAGGCAAGCGUUAUUCGGAUUUACUGGGCGUAAAGCGCGUGCAGGCGGUUCGGAAAGUUGGAUGUGAAAGCUCCUGGCUCAACUGGGAGAGGUCGUUCAAUACUUCCGGACUUGAGAGUGGGAGAGGGAGGUGGAAUUCCGGGUGUAGUGGUGAAAUGCGUAGAUAUCCGGAGGAACACCAGUGGCGAAAGCGGCCUCCUGGCCCAUUUCUGACGCUCAGACGCGAAAGCUAGGGUAGCAAACG